rnacentral:rRNA from 1 species
UAGUAACGGCGAGUGAAGCGGGAAGAGCUCAAGCUUAAAAUCUCCGUGCAAGUUUUGCGCGGCGAAUUGUAGUCUAUAGAGGCGUGGUCAGCGUGGGCGCUUGGGGCAAGUUCCUUGGAAGAGGACAGCAUGGAGGGUGAUACUCCCGUUCAUCCCUGAGUGGCUCGUGCGUACGACCCGUUUUCUUUGAGUCGCGUUGUUUGGGAAUGCAGCGCAAAGUAGGUGGUAAAUUCCAUCUAAAGCUAAAUAUUGGUGCGAGACCGAUAGCGAACAAGUACCGUGAGGGAAAGAUGAAAAGAACUUUGAAAAGAGAGUUAAAGAGUACCUGAAACUGCUGAAAGGGAACCGAAUCGUUUCCAGUGUCUAUAAUCCGUGGCAUAUUUCAUUGGCGAGCGUUUGCGUGCGUGUGCUGUGGCAGUGGCUUUUUUGGCUGCGCCUGGCGUGUGUGCUGUGAGUGUUUGCUGGUGCCCUGUGCCGCGGUGGGACGUCAAGGUCAGUUCGUAUGCUGCGGGAAAUGGCUGCCGAGGAGGUAGGGCUUACGCUCCGCGUUUGUCUGUUAUAUCUUGGUGGACGAGUCGUCGUGGUUGGGACUGAGGUGCCUACAACGUGCUUUUGAGUGGGUUUGUGUCUCCGUGUGCGCCGUGUGCGGAUAGCUUGCUAUGCGUGUGUGGUUGUGUGUGGAUUGAUGCGGGCCUUAACUUGUCGCCGUUC